UUCCCCUAGUAACUGCGAGUGAAGCGGGAAAAGCUCAAAUUUAAAAUCUGGUAGUCUUUGGCUGCCCGAGUUGUAAUCUAGAGAAGCGUUAUCCGCGCUGGACCGUGUACAAGUCUCCUGGAAUGGAGCGUCAUAGAGGGUGAGAAUCCCGUCUUUGACACGGACUCCCAGGGCUUUGUGAUGCGCUCUCAAAGAGUCGAGUUGUUUGGGAAUGCAGCUCUAAAUGGGUGGUAAAUUCCAUCUAAAGCUAAAUAUUGGCGAGAGACCGAUAGCGAACAAGUACCGUGAGGGAAAGAUGAAAAGAACUUUGGAAAGAGAGUUAAACAGUACGUGAAAUUGUUGAAAGGGAAACGCUUGAAGUCAGUCGCGUUGGCCAGGGAUCAACCUUGCUUUUGCUUGGUGUACUUCCUGGUCAAUGGGUCAGCAUCAAUUUUGACCAGUGGAAAAAGGUUAGAGGAAUGUGGCAUCUUCGGAUGUGUUAUAGCCUCUGAUCGUAUACACUGGUUGGGAUUGAGGAACUCAGCACGCCGCAAGGCCGGGUUUUUACCACGUUCGUGCUUAGGAUGCUGGCAUAAUGGCUUUAAUCGACCCGUCUUGAAACACGGACCAAGGAGUCUAACAUGCCUGCGAGUGUUUGGGUGGAAAACCCAAGCGCGCAAUGAAAGUGAAAGUUGGGAUCCCUGUCGUGGGGAGCACCGACGCCCGGACCAGACCUUCUGUGACGGAUCCGCGGUAGAG
rnacentral:rRNA from 1 species